CGCCUUGCCAGCCCGCUCAGAACUUAAAUGAAUUGACGGGGGCCCGCACAAGCGGUGGAGUAUGUGGUUUAAUUCGAUGCAACGCGAAGAACCUUACCUGGUCUUGACAUCCCGGAGACCCUUAGGAAACUAGGGGGUGCUUCCAUCUGGAAGAAUCUGGAGACAGGUGCUGCAUGGCUGUCGUCAGCUCGUGUCGUGAGAUGUUGGGUUAAGUCCCGCAACGAGCGCAACCCUUGCCUUUAGUUGCCAGCAGUUCGGCUGGGCACUCUAAAGGGACUGCCGGUGUUAAACCGGAGGAAGGUGGGGAUGACGUCAAGUCCUCAUGGCCUUUAUGACCAGGGCUACACACGUACUACAAUGGCCGAUACAAAGGGCAGCGACACUGCGAGGUGAAGCCAAUCCCGUAAAAUCGGUCUCAGUCCGGAUUGGAGUCUGCAACUCGACUCCAUGAAGUUGGAAUCGCUAGUAAUCGUGGAUCAGCAUGCCACGGUGAAUACGUUCCCGGGCCUU
rnacentral:rRNA from 1 species